rnacentral:rRNA from 1 species
UACGUAGGGAGCAAGCGUUGUCCGGAAUCAUUGGGCGUAAAGAGCGUGUAGGCGGCCAGAUAGGUCCGUUGUGAAAACUCGAGGCUCAACCUCGAGACGCCGAUGGAAACCAUUUGGCUAGAGUCCGGAAGAGGAGAGUGGAAUUCCUGGUGUAGCGGUGAAAUGCGCAGAUAUCAGGAAGAACACCCGUGGCUAAGGCGGCUCUCUAGUACGGUACUGACGCUGAGACGCGAAAGCGUGGGGAGCGAACAGG